AUUGAACGCUGGCGGCAGGCCUAACACAUGCAAGUCGAGCGGAUGAAGGGAGCUUGCUCCUGGAUUCAGCGGCGGACGGGUGAGUAAUGCCUAGGAAUCUGCCUGGUAGUGGGGGAUAACGUCCGGAAACGGGCGCUAAUACCGCAUACGUCCUGAGGGAGAAAGUGGGGGAUCUUCGGACCUCACGCUAUCAGAUGAGCCUAGGUCGGAUUAGCUAGUUGGUGGGGUAAAGGCCUACCACGGCGACGAUCCGUAACUGGUCUGAGAGGAUGAUCAGUCACACUGGAACUGAGACACGGUCCAGACUCCUACGGGAGGCAGCAGUGGGGAAUAUUGGACAAAGGGCGAAAGCCUGAUCCAGCCAUGCCGCGUGUGUGAAGAAGGUCUUCGGAUUGUAAAGCACUUUAAGUUGGGAGGAAGGGCAGUAAGUUAAUACCUUGCUGUUUUGACGUUACCAACAGAAUAAGCACCGGCUAACUUCGUG
rnacentral:rRNA from 1 species